rnacentral:rRNA from 1 species
AUUGAACGCUGGCGGCAUGCCUUACACAUGCAAGUCGAACGGCAGCGGGGACUUCGGUCCGCCGGCGAGUGGCGAACGGGUGAGUAAUGUAUCGGAACGUACCAUUCAGUAGGGGAUAACUAUCCGAAAGGAUAGCUAAUACCGCAUAUUCUGUGAGCAGGAAAGCAGGGGAUCGCAAGACCUUGCGCUGAUUGAGCGGCCGAUAUCAGAUUAGCUAGUUGGUGAGGUAACGGCUCACCAAGGCUACGAUCUGUAGCGGGUCUGAGAGGAUGGUCCGCCACACGGGGACGGAGACACGGCCCAGACUCCUACGGGAGGAAGCAGUGGGGAAUUUUGGACAAUGGGCGCAAGCCGGAUCCAGCCAUGCCGCGUGAGUGAAGAAGGCCUUCGGGUUGUAAAGCUCUUUCGGCCGGGAAGAAAUCGCAUCAGCUAAUACCUGGUGUGGAGGACGGUACCGGAAUAAGAAGCACCGGCUAACUACGUGCCAGCAGCCGCCGUAACAC